rnacentral:rRNA from 1 species
GACGAACGCUGGCGGCGUGCUUAACACAUGCAAGUCGAACGGUGAAGCCCUUCGGGGUGGAUCAGUGGCGAACGGGUGAGUAACACGUGAGCAACCUGCCCCUGGCCCUGGGACAACCACUGGAAACGGUGGCUAAUACCGGAUACGACCCGCCUCGGCAUCGAGUGUGGGUGGAAAGUUUUUCGGCUGGGGAUGGGCUCGCGGGCUAUCAGCUUGUUGGUGGGGUGGAGGUUCACCAAGGCGACGACUGGGAGCCGGCCCGGGGGGGGGACCGGCCCCAACGGGACCGGGACACGGCCCAGAGCCCCACGGGAGGGAGGAGGGGGGAAAAUUGCACAAAGGGGGGAAGCCCGAUGCCGCGGCCCCGGGGGGGGGAAGAAGGCCUUUGGGGUGGAAAACUCUUUUCACCCCGAAAGAGGGGAAGGGACGGGAAGGGGCAAAAAAGGACCGGGCAAACACGGG